rnacentral:misc_RNA from 1 species
GGAACAUCCUGAAUGCUAAGAAAAUCUGGCUUUCUGUGGCUGUCCUUUGUUGGUUUCUAUGUACUAGCUUGAAAGGCUGUUAUUGAGGUUUGCGGUGUACAUAAUUAAGAUUUGGGAUGAGAAAAAAAAAGGAAAAGGUUUAAAAUUUAAUGUGAAGAAGUUGCAAGUAUUCUGGACCUCAUGCAGAAAAUCAAGGAGUAGAAAGAGAGGAAGAAGGGAG